GAUGAACGCUGGCGGCGUGCCUAAUACAUGCAAGUCGAGCGAACAGAUGAGGAGCUUGCUCCUCUGACGUUAGCGGCGGACGGGUGAGUAACACGUGGAUAACCUACCUAUAAGACUGGGAUAACUUCGGGAAACCGGAGCUAAUACCGGAUAAUAUAUUGAACCGCAUGGUUCAAUAGUGAAAGACGGUUUUGCUGUCACUUAUAGAUGGAUCCGCGCCGCAUUAGCUAGUUGGUAAGGUAACGGCUUACCAAGGCAACGAUGCGUAGCCGACCUGAGAGGGGGAUCGGCCACACUGGAACUGAGACACGGUCCAGACUCCUACGGGAGGCAGCAGUAGGGAAUCUUCCGCAAUGGGCGAAAGCCUGACGGAGCAACGCCGCGUGAGUGAUGAAGGUCUUCGGAUCGUAAAACUCUGUUAUUAGGGAAGAACAAAUGUGUAAGUAACUAUGCACGUCUGGACGGUACCUAAUCAGAAAGCCACGGCUAACUACGG
rnacentral:rRNA from 1 species